CACUCUCGCGCUAUUGCUUUUCCCCACUUGAAGGAGUAGUAAGAAGACUCUUUCUCGGAUAGUACUUCCUACAAAUUGGCCUCCAUGCAGCAGAGAGCGAGAUCCACCGAAAGGGCUGUACCGGCGCGUGGUGUCCGGAAAGCCUUGUCCCCAUCACUUUCGGAUUCGAGUGAUGAAAGUGCUCUACGGAUGCACUUCGUGGCUGGCGGUGCUUCUCGACGUGCGGGACGAGUCAGUGAUGAUGAAUACGAGACGUCGUCCUACGAGGAGACGGAGGCAUCGGACUUGCUCUCGGACAAUAGCGAAGAUUACGUUCCGUUGACAUUCGAGUACAUCAGCAGCAACCCCAGACGCCGUGCUGGCGCACCAGCUUACUCGAAAGUUCCAUUGGGUGCACUGGAGGUGGAGGAGAGGCAGGAAAGCCUUUCUUUCUCAGAUGCACCACUUGAGGUUUUUCUUGAGCGUAGCCGAACACGCCGGCAAUACGGCCCUGGCGCCAAGGACGUGAAUCGGGUUGAGGUGAAGUCUUCCGUAAGUAGCCAUCACAAAGAUGAGGAUGGUACUUCCUCGACGAAUUCCGGUGCUCUUCCGAUCGCGUUUGAGAGACGGAAGAAGACUCACAAUAUUGGAAAGGUAAAGCAAUCUACAUACGAGAUAUUGGAUACCGAGUUGUCCGUCUCGCUUCCCGAUGAAGAGGAAGCCCCGUUGAAUGCUCAGCUCAUCUACACGUUGAUCAAGCGCUUGCGCAACCCCUCGGAUGAGGUUUCAUUGGAGGCGUUUGACUUCGUCGACUUCAGCGAUGAGAACUUCAAAGAGGAACUUGGACCACUCAAGGAGAUCAAGGCGCUCCUCGAGGAGAAGGCGAGCAAUCCCAUUAUGGAAAACACGAAGCACAACCAUGCGGUCAAGGAGGCUGUUCAGUCUCUUCCACCGGAUAAUGCUAUCGCCGCUAAGGUGAAGGCUAUCAAGAGUUGUCCAAUUAGACCAUCAAAACCUAGGAUUCGGUUGCACAGAGGUGGGGAAGCAGAGAUGGAGAAGGCGGAGGCAAUUGCGGACCUCGUGCGGCGCCUGAAAGAUCCCAACACGGAAGUGCCGCUGCGUGCCUUUGAGGAGGUGGACUGGAGCAAUCGCGAUUUCGACAUGGUACUCGCUUUGCUGAAGCCGAUCCGUGCGUACAUGGAGGCGAAGGAAGUGGCCAAGGAAAAGCCUGCUGAGGGCACGAUGAGUGGCGCAUCUGUGUUGGAUAACAAGAUCAAGAAGGCGAUAAUGUCGCUACCCUCAGAAGAGGCUGUCGCAGCAGCGAUGCGCGCAGUGAAGAACCGCGCCAUGUCGAGCAGUCCAUCCAACGGCGAUGCUAUUCGUCACUUGGUAGCACGCUUGAAGGGAUCAGGCCAGACUGUGAAGCUGUGCGAGUUUGACAAACUGGACUGGAAUGACCGCAAUUUCAGUCGUGAGUUGGAACCACUGCAGCAGAUUCGCGCGUGCAUGGAGGCGAUGGAGGCGCUCGAACAGAAGCCGGGCGAGAAUGUGAUGGCUACUCAACCGGCGCUGGAUGAACAGAUCAAGGCGGCUAUUAUGUCACUGCCACCUGAAAAGGUGAUUUCUGUAAAAACGCAGAUGCUGAAGAUGUAUGAGAGGGCCUCCACAAGAGCCCAAGGCUCGCAGAGAGUGAAGGUCACAAAGCUGUCUGCUCCAGCUGGCACGCAGAAGAAACUGAAGGACAGCUUCAUAAUGUCGAACCCGAGCAAAAAGUUGAAGACAAAGGAGGGCAACCUGUCGGCCUCGAGCAGCCAGGUCAUGCAAGUGGGCGCGAGGGUAAUGUCGUUGAAGCAGCCAAAGUACGCCGCAAAGGAGAGCACCGCCCUGUCGGCCCCUGCGAAGAAAGUGCGUCGCUCGCGAAUCCGAGGUGACCGCAGCGUUUCUAUCUCAAAGGUGGAUGAUGACACUCCUCCCGGUGAGAUCAUCGACGAUAAUCAGGAGCUCCCAGAGAGCCGCGAAUCACCACUCUUGGAGGCUGUCACAACGUCACGAUGCCUUUCGCGCAUGCCAUCCCGUCCUGCCGGGGCGAAGAAGCCUGAGCGGCGCACCCGAAACUACCGGCAGGCCAACAACAUCUCUUUUAGUAGCGUUCCCACGGAGGAGCCUGGCGUGAUUCAAGAAGAGAACGAGUUAAUAGGCACCAAGCGCAAGGCCGGCCGCCGACGCGCACCUCACAAACUCUGCCGCAGCCUCUCCAUCACUAGCCUCCCCGAUCUAGAAGCUGACGAGGUGUUGGAGGAGCCCUCGCCAUUGAAUACGAGAGGCGUGCCACCGGCCACUCUGGCACCUGCCAGGAAAGCAAAGUCACGGCGGUCGCAUACCAAGCUCCCCGGCGACAACGCCCAGUUUGAUCAGCCCUCGAACGAGGUGGCCAGUGGUCUGGACGACAACAACACCGCUCUUCAGGGCAAGGCACACUCCGCCACGAAGAAGAAGCGCCGUCCGAAGGUGAACAACAAGUCGUGCAGUUUCAUCGAGGUAUACUUAGACGAGGUGUGUGAGAUUCACGAUGAGAGCGCCACUGAGCUAAAGGGCGUCGAGCUUCAGCACGAUACUUCGCCACCUAAGAGAACGCAAAAGCUUCUGCGUCGACGCAGGCCUGCUGACGAGGGUAACGGGCGUGCUUUGGACUACAGCAAACCAGAGACGGGAGAGGCCGGCAAGCUUGACGAUGCUCAACACUCCAACGCUGCGACGGCUAAGGGACGGCGGGUGAACGUGCAUCGCACCCGCAGCGCACACACCUCGAUGAUUGGCGAGCUGAAGAGCGGCGAGAUCGUCGAACGGCCAGAUGAGACACACAUCCUGUACACUUCCUCUGCGGCAAGCACCCCUAUCCCUGAAGAGGCGAGUGCCAGGCGCGUCAAUCGUCAGGCCAUUCCAGCCAGGGCUCAGAAGGUGUCGUGCAUGACGUGUGACUUCUCAUCCACCGCCCGGAAGCGCCGACCGCGACUUCACAUGAGCAAGGAGCUGAGUGUCUCGGCCAUUCCGGAGAACCUAGUAGGUGAGAUCGUCGAGAAUGCACCGGAUUUGCUCGCCGCAACAGCGCCUGUGAGCGGCUCUUUCUCGAAUGCCCGUCUGUCAAAGGUCCACACGGGGCCAGCGAGGCGAUUGCCUCUGUUGAAGGGCAGUGGGCGAGGUUCUUUGCGCUACACCGACCCGCCAAACUCGUCUCUGAGGUCGUCUGCGAAGAGUCGUAAGGAGGUUAUCAUGCCGAGCGUCGACGCUUCCUUUAUUCCAGACACGGUCUCCAGCUCACCAACACCUCCGUCCAGCGCUCUCCGUCGGUCAACGGAGGCAAUCCCCCACGUUACCAUGGUAGCCGCCAAGUUAUGUGACGAUAUCCAGUGCAUAUCCUCAGUGUGAGCAUUGACGUAGAGGGAGUGGCGGCACGGUGCACGAGGAGGCUGUGUACUGGAAGCCGUCGGUGGGUGCGAACUAACGGAGCACGAUCUCGUUUUCGCUGGAACGCAUUUGGCCCUUACUGCGUGUCGAAUCAGCGACUGUACCUCGUUGAUCACCUUUGCGUUGUGUGCCCACACUCGUGCAUCAAGUGCUUUUGGGAGUGCACUUGUUUUGCGUGUCCAUGCCAGCGGCUUUUGCGAGUGUUCCUCGGCAGCCUGGCCUGGUCGCAUGAGUGCACUAACACUCGCUCUUGCAAAGGGCACACACACACACACAAAGCAAACGCAACUCUGCGGCACCAGGCUAAUGAGUGCCUCUUGCCUUUCUCCACGGUCUUCGGAUUUAAACCAGACUGGAGGGGGCCCUGCGUAUGCCCGACAGUGGUGGGUUGUUGUGUAUCUGUGUGUGCGCGUGUUUCCAGUUCUUUAGAUGUUCAUGCUCCUUUUGCGUCCCUCUUCCCCCCCCCCCCCUCGCCUCGUGUUUUCUCGUGUAUCCGUGACCUCUGACGGUGCAUGCCGAUAUAGCUUUGUGCAUACACGUGUGUGCGCGUGCUGUGUGAGUUCCAGAAGGAAAGUCCCCAAAUGCACACGAGUCCCGGAGCCGACUCUGCUAGCAGCGGCAACGUGCCCUCUUUCCCCUGCUAGCAAACCCAUCUACGGAGGCGCUAUCCCCUCACACAAAUGAAGCGAGAGAGAAGAAAAAGAUGACGGUGGUGCCCUGCCGCACCUACCUCGUUAUGCACCCUUUUCCCGAAUGUUCUUGAUUGCUCUUCCCUUUGCAUAUUGUGCGGUUCGGUUCUUCCCUUCUUCCGCUCUCUCCCUCUCUCUGUGCCGCUGUCUGCGUUGGUGUGCGUGCGUCUUCGCUUGUAAUGCUCUGUUUCCCUUUGCCACCCCAUCCGCCCUCUGCUCAUCCUUUUUCCGUACGCCUGUCUCUUGAAAUCUUUUCUUUGCUGUGGUGUGGACAGGCGAGCACCGAUUGCUUAUGCUUUUCCGAGGUGUAGGAAGGAAAGCUGCGAGAGAUCAAGGACAACACUGGCCACGUUUCUUUUAGUUCGGGUCACCACAGAGGAUUUACUCGACUUUUCAGCUCGUAAAGGCCACGACUGACAUGUAUAACAACCCCGUGCUCAUUCAUUCAUCUUGUUUUUCGCUGUCUGUUUAAUAUAUAUAUAUAUAUAUGUUUUCGUCAUUCGCAUAGUGGCUUUGAUGGGUGUCCGACUUGCUACGUGUCUCUCCCCCCUUCUCUGCUUCCUCUCCCCUUCUCCCUUCCCUCCUUUCUCUCCACUGACGAGGGGCGGGGGGGGGCGCUCGAAACAAGAGGGAGGUCGACUUGUGAUUUGUCGAUGUGGGCAGAUGAAGGGCUAUGUGUGUGUGUGCAGAACACGGAAAAAAGAAACACCAAAGGCGAGGUCGCUGACAGUCGGAAGUUGGAUAGCCGUGCUUGCAUGCAUGCCACUUGCAGACAACAGUUUUGUGCUUGGGCCGCUUUGCACGUGCUCAGCUUGUCCAGCGUCGCGCUUCUUUCUCAAGCACCGCCACAGCACGAGCUGCCCUCACUCCAUUCUUUGCCUUCUUCAUCCUCUUCUCACAUUCCCGUGCUUCAUUCUGAGAUCAUAGAUGCUCUCGUUUACAUGCCACAUUUCCUCUUUUUUUCUCGGUUGGUUCUGUUGUUUGUGCUCUCGUGUGUUGUCUCGCUUGUCCGUAGCGCGGGUGUGUACCGUCCUGCGUACGAACGUGUGUGUAUGCACAAAUUUUCCUCCCCAUUCGUUUUCUUGUGUAUUUUUUAUCUGGCUUAUUGUCGAAAUAGCGAAUACACACACACGUGCCCCUAUCCCACUCAGCGACAAAGAAAUCACACAUAUCCGAGAGAAAAGUAAAAGUGUGCCGUUCUCACAGUAGUUUAACAACGCCACCCUACCCCAGGGGAGCGGCGUUCCUUUUCCUAAGGUGAAUUAUCCAUUCACUGCACCGGAACCUCGCUGAGA
rnacentral:misc_RNA from 1 species